rnacentral:tRNA from 1 species
GAAAAUCCGUUGGCUUUUUAGACCGUGAGGGUUCWAGUCCCUCUACCCCCA